rnacentral:rRNA from 1 species
UACGUAUGCUGCGAGCGUUGUUCGGAAUUACUGGGCGUAAAGAGUGUGUAGGCGGUGCUCCCAGUCUGUUGUGAAAUCUCCCGGCUUAACUGGGAGGGUGCAGCGGAAACUAGAGUGCUAGAGGGUGGGAGAGGUAAGCGGAAUUCCUGGUGUAGCGGUGAAAUGCGCAGAUAUCAGGAGGAACACCGGUGGCGAAGGCGGGUCUCUGGGCAGUAACUGACGCUGAGGAGCGAAAGCGUGGGGAGCGAACAGG